UGCAGUCGAGGGGCAGCACGUCUUCGGAUGGUGGCGACCGGCGCACGGGUGCGUAACGCGUAUGCAACCUACCUCUUACAGUGGGAUAGCCCAGAGAAAUUUGGAUUAAUACCGCAUAGUAUGCAAGACCAGCAUUGAUAUUGUAUUAAACAUUUAUGGGUAAGAGAUGGGCAUGCGUUCUAUUAGCUAGAUGGAGUGGUAACGGCACCCCAUGGCUACGAUAGAUAGGGGCCCUGAGAGGGGGAUCCCCCACACUGGUACUGAGACACGGACCAGACUCCUACGGGAGGCAGCAGUGAGGAAUAUUGGACAAUGGGCGAGAGCCUGAUCCAGCCAUGCCGCGUGCAGGAAGACGGCCCUAUGGGUUGUAAACUGCUUUUGUACGGGAAGAAACGCCCCCUCGUGAGGGGGCUUGACGGUACCGUAAGAAUAAGGAUCGGCUAACUCCGUGCCAGCAGCCGCGGUAAUACGGAGGAUCCAAGCGUUAUCCGGAAUCAUUGGGUUUAAAGGGUCCGUAUGUGGACCGUUAAGUCAGAGGUGAAAUCCUGCAGCUCAACUGUAGAAUCGCCUUUGAUACUGGCGGUCUUGAAUCAUUGUGAAGUGGUUAGAAUAUGUAGUGUAGCGGUGAAAUGCAUAGAUAUUACAUAG
rnacentral:rRNA from 1 species